rnacentral:rRNA from 1 species
GACGAACGCUGGCGGCGCGCUUAACACAUGCAAGUCGAGCGAGAACCGGGGCUUCGGCCCCGGGGACAGCGGCGAACGGGUGAGUAACACGUGGGUAACCUGCCCUCGGCGCCGGGAUAGCCCGGGGAAAGCCGGAUUAAUACCGGAUGGCCCCUCCGACCUUCGGGUCGGCGGGAAAAGGUAGCUUCGGCCUCCGGCCGAGGAUGGGCCGGCGGCGGAUUAGGUUGUUGGGGGGGUAACGGCUCACCAAGGCGACGAUCCGUAGCUGGUCGGAGAGGACGAUCAGCCACACUGGGACUGAGACACGGCCCAGACUCCUACGGGAGGCAGCAGUGGGGAAUCUUGCGCAAUGGGCGAAAGCCUGACGCAGCGACGCCGCGUGAGGGAAGAAGGCCUUCGGGUUGUAAACCUCUUUCAGUAGGGACGAAGCCACUCGGGUGAAUAGCCCAGAGGGUGACGGUACCUACAGAAGAAGCCCCGGCUAACUCCGUGCCAGCCGCCGCAGUAAUAC